rnacentral:tRNA from 1 species
GCCUGGGUGGCUCAGUCGGUUGAGCGUCCGACUUUGGCUCAGAUCACGAUCUCGCAGUUUGUGGGUUCGAGCCCUGCGUUGGGCU